GCGAUCUCAGCAUUGGCUGCCUCCCUUCUUUCGGCCUGGAGUGGGCGCAUUUUUUGUCUCACUGGAUGGGCUCCCUGGGCCACUCCAAGCCUGUGCUCUGCGAAGGAACGGGCUACUCCUUUGAGGUCCCUUAAAUCGUAGGCAAACAGGUCCUCGUUCUUCUUGAGUAACCUUAUCAGGCCAGCUCGUAAGUUUGGACAGAGCUGCGCUCCAAUCCUGACUACCUUGAUC
rnacentral:lncRNA from 1 species